CAACCCUUAAGCCCCUGUUGCUUAGCGUUGGGAGUCCACAGGUUACCCUGUAGCUCCUGAAAACCAUUGGCGGAGUCUGGGAGCACUCUAAGCGUAUUAUACAUUUUUGUCUCGCUUUGGAUCUUGCCCCGCCUCCACGCCGUAAAACACCCCAUAUCAAA
rnacentral:misc_RNA from 2 species